AGACCCUGAUGCCGCCGCUUGGCUCAGUCACUUCUCCUUAGUUACGGGCUGAGUUCGAGUUAUGGCAUGUCACGGUUAGAGUUGUUGUUGCUGUUACGAGUAGUUGGGGCUGAGGUUGCCUCCGUCGUCGGAGCUGUGCCGGGGCCGGUUCGAAACCACAGCUGCUUCGUGUUGUUAUUCCGAGCUGUUUAUGCUGCUGCAAAAAUGUGUGGGGCUGUGCUUUGAAGCUGCCUUUGAUUUUGAGUUGAGGUGAAAAGAACUUAUGAGGCGCUUGGAUUAUGGAAUUGUGUUUUGAGGUAGGGGCGCUUUCCAAAAACUAUAGUUUAUUAUUGAAAUUAUUACAUAUGGGUACUGAUGUGAGAUAUUGUGUAUUUGGUGAUUGUAUCUG